rnacentral:rRNA from 1 species
AUUGAACGCUGGCGGCAGGCCUAACACAUGCAAGUCGAACGGUAGCACAGAGAGCUUGCUCUCGGGUGACGAGUGGCGGACGGGUGAGUAACGUCUGGGAAACUGCCCGAUGGAGGGGGAUAACUACUGGAAACGGUAGCUAAUACCGCAUAACGUCGCAAGACCAAAGUGGGGGACCUUCGGGCCUCACACCAUCGGAUGUGCCCAGAUGGGAUUAGCUAGUAGGUGGGGUAAUGGCUCACCUAGGCGACGACCCCUAGCUGGUCUGAGAGGAUGACCAGCCACAGUGGAACGGAGACACGGUCCAGACUCCUACGGGAGGCAGCAGUGGGGAAUAUUGCACAAUGGGCGCAAGCCUGAUGCAGCCAUGCCGCGUGUAUGAAGAAGGCCUUCGGGUUGUAAAGUACUUUCAGCGGGGAGGAAGGCGGUGAAGUUAACAGCUUCACCGAUUGACGUUACCCGCAGAAGAAGCACCGGCUAACUCCGUGCCAGCCGCCGCCGUAA